rnacentral:lncRNA from 1 species
AAAUGGACCGUGGUAAGGGAAAAGCACCAUGAGGACCACGGCCAUGGGAAGAUGUGUGGUGAUUGGGUUGAUUUUGAAAAUUGUGUAAUUAUUGUAGCCUAUUGUGCAACUUGUGAACUUAUGCGAUUCUAGUGUGUGAUUUAUUUAUUAGGAUGAUGAAUGAUGUAUGAACCUUGGUUAUUAUGUAUGAAAUAUCUAUUUGCCCUAGUCGAUGUUGGAUUGUUUAAGUGUGAAUGUUGGAACCUCGAAACUCUGAAAAAGACUUAGAAUUAUUUAAC